rnacentral:tRNA from 1 species
GGGGAAGUAGCUCAGUUGGUAGAGUACUUGCUUCACAUGCAGAAGUCCCUGGGUUCAAUCCCCAAAACCACCA